GUUGUGGACGAAUGGAUGAAGCUUGUAGUUCAGGCAUUAGCGCUAAAAGUUGUGGUUCAGGCCUGGAUCCAGUUGGUUCAUAAGAGAGCUAUUCAUCGGAGUGAGAAACCUCUCAUCUUGUAUGGUCCGAUGAUCCAAGAUUGGUAGAGGUUAGCGAAUCUGAACUACAUCUACAACUACAAUGACACAGAGGCUCUGAUGCUUCGAAUGAAAAGAGCACCUUUCGCAAGGCUUGUGCAGACGUUCAUGAGCGGGCUGCUAGAAGAUAUCAUCCACACCUCUGUGGUAGAGCAAGUAGCCAUGUUCCUCCAUGAUGUUGGUCAUAACAAGAGGUUCAGGAUUAUACAAAACACCUUCAGGAGGUCAAUGGAGACCAUCUCCAGGUACUUCAAGCAAGUGUUGUAUAUUGUUGGGGCACUCAGAGGAGAGAUGAUCGUGUCACCAACCGGCCAGACUCCUACCAAGAUUCACACUAGCCCAAGAUGGUAUCCAUACUUUAAGGUGAGCACUAACCGUAUGUAG
rnacentral:rRNA from 1 species